rnacentral:sRNA from 1 species
AGGUGAUUUCAAUCAAGUCAGCUGAAAUGCACUCACUUCCAAGUGAUCGGCCUUGGUUCUGUUAAGACCAUUUUUGAAUGGGGUGUUUUAAAGGACUCUGAGAGUGUUUCCAAAGUGCUUUGGCUGGAUGAGAUACAGCAAGCCGUCGAUGAGGCCAACGUGGACGAGGACAGAGCAAAACAAUGGGUUACUCUGGUGGUUGAUGUUAAUCAGUGUUUGGAAGGAAAAAAAUCAAGUGAUAUUUUGUCUGUAUUGAAGUCUUCCACUUCUAAUGCAAAUGACAUAAUCCCGGAGUGUGCUGACAAAUACUAUGAUGCCCUUGUGAAGGCAAAAGAGCUCAAAUCUGAAAGAGUGUCUAGUGACGGUUCAUGGCUCAAACUCAACCUGCACGAAAAAUAUGACUACUAUUACAACAUUGAUUCAAAAG